rnacentral:rRNA from 1 species
AGAUUGAACUGAAGAGUUUGAUCCUGGCUCAGAUUGAACGCUGGCGGGAUGCUUUACACAUGCAAGUCGGACGGCAGCACGGGCUUCGGCCUGGUGGCGAGUGGCGAACGGGUGAGUAAUGUAUCGGAACGUGCCCAGUAGCGGGGGAUAACUACGCGAAAGCGUGGCUAAUACCGCAUACGCCCUACGGGGGAAAGCGGGGGACCUUCGGGCCUCGCACUAUUGGAGCGGCCGAUAUCGGAUUAGCUAGUUGGUGGGGUAACGGCCUACCAAGGCGACGAUCCGUAGCUGGUUUGAGAGGACGACCAGCCACACUGGGACUGAGACACGGCCCAGACUCCUACGGGAGGCAGCAGUGGGGAAUUUUGGACAAUGGGGGCAACCCUGAUCCAGCCAUCCCGCGUGUGCGAUGAAGGCCUUCGGGUUGUAAAGCACUUUUGGCAGGAAAGAAACGGCACGGGCUAAUAUCCUGUGCAACUGACGGUACCUGCAGAAUAAGCACCGGCUAACUACGUGCCAGCAGCCGCGGUAAUACGUAGGGUGCAAGCGUUAAUCGGAAUUACUGGGCGUAAAGCGUGCGCAGGCGGUUCGGAAAGAAAGAUGUGAAAUCCCAGGGCUUAACCUUGGAACUGCAUUUUUAACUACCGGGCUAGAGUGUGUCAGAGGGAGGUGGAAUUCCGCGUGUAGCAGUGAAAUGCGUAGAUAUGCGGAGGAACACCGAUGGCGAAGGCAGCCUCCUGGGAUAACACUGACGCUCAUGCACGAAAGUGUGGGGAGCAAACAGGAUUAGAUACCCUGGUAGUCCACGCCCUAAACGAUGUCAACUAGCUGUUGGGGCCUUCGGGCCUUGGUAGCGCAGCUAACGCGUGAAGUUGACCGCCUGGGGAGUACGGUCGCAAGAUUAAAACUCAAAGGAAUUGACGGGACCCGCACAAGCGGUGGAUGAUGUGGAUUAAUUCGAUGCAACGCGAAAAACCUUACCUACCCUUGACAUGUCUGGAAUCCCGAAGAGAUUUGGGAGUGCUCGCAAGAGAACCGGAACACAGGUGCUGCAUGGCUGUCGUCAGCUCGUGUCGUGAGAUGUUGGGUUAAGUCCCGCAACGAGCGCAACCCUUGUCAUUAGUUGCUACGAAAGGGCACUCUAAUGAGACUGCCGGUGACAAACCGGAGGAAGGUGGGGAUGACGUCAAGUCCUCAUGGCCCUUAUGGGUAGGGCUUCACACGUCAUACAAUGGUCGGGACAGAGGGUUGCCAACCCGCGAGGGGGAGCCAAUCCCAGAAACCCGGUCGUAGUCCGGAUCGCAGUCUGCAACUCGACUGCGUGAAGUCGGAAUCGCUAGUAAUCGCGGAUCAGCAUGUCGCGGUGAAUACGUUCCCGGGUCUUGUACACACCGCCCGUCACACCAUGGGAGUGGGUUUUACCAGAAGUAGUUAGCCUAACCGCAAGGGGGGCGAUUACCACGGUAGGAUUCAUGACUGGGGUGAAGUCGUAACAAGGUAGCCGUAUCGGAAGGUGCGGCUGGAUCACCUCCUUU